GGUAUUUGGAACUUAGUCCAAGGAGCAUCAGCUCCUUCGAUCAACUCAGCCAGCAAUUCACGGUGCAUUUCCACACCAGUAAAAAGUUAGCAUACGCUUCUGCAAGUCUCUUCUCGAUCAAGCAACGAGAAGGAGAAUCACUGAGAGAUUACUUUGUGUGUUUCAAAUGCUGCCACAUUGGAAGUCUACGACCUUAAUCAGGAUAUGACUAUGAUGGCUGCUGCUCAGGGACUGCGUGGCUCAUGCUUGACUUACUCCUUA
rnacentral:lncRNA from 1 species